GCUGAGGGUUUUUGUCACGGCUUGGUAAAUGUAUCAUCUUAAGAGGCUUUUUCCAACACCUACACACACCAUCUCUCUCUCUCUUUCUCUCUCUCUCUCUCUAUCAAACACACUCUUACACACAGACACUCUCUCUGCAGCCUCUGCACGGACACACCCGCUCCCUUCAAACAGAUUUGAAUAUUGAUUUAGAUUUAUAAACACAGGCAGAGCGUGGCUUUUUUUUUUUUCUACUCAUUUGUCAUUUGCCACUCUCUCUCACUCUCUCUCGAUUUCUUUCUGUAUCUGCGUGGCUCUUGUGAAAAGGGUCAGAGUCAAAGGUGUCGUGACAGCUAUUCCGAUCGGAGGAGGAGCAUGCAUGGAUCCAGAAGUUGGAUUUGGAACUGAGACAGAGAAAAGUUUUGCUAUAGCUGAAAACACAUACAGGAGUUUGCCAACAAACAAGUGGAAGCAGUGAACACAGUCGACGUGCAAUUCUCCAGCCUCCAGCAAGAGCCAAGGUCAUGACUGGCUGACAGAGGCAAAUUAGCAGAAGUUAACAUUAUGAGAACCGUCUAAAAAAACCUUUGCAUGAAAAUAUUCAUUCAAUUUUCAACUUUAACAUACUCAAACAUUUUCUGUAAUUGCUUGUGAGUGAAGAGCCACAUUAAUUGACUGUGACUGUUCUUAUAAUUAAACUUCAAUGUGUAAAAGCAUUGUUGCCACUAGUGUUAAAGGUUUACUCUUCCUGUGUGCUCUGAGGAGUCUGCAUGGCGUGCUAAAACCUGCCCUGCAGACCGGACCUUCCCAGUCUUCAAAGCAGGGGAACUCAAUGUGAGGGGGAUUUGUUCAGGCUUAUUUGGUAACCUAGGAUUUGAAUUGGAUUCUUGGAGGCAUUCACGACACAUUUGAAAUAUGUUACAUUGUGCGAUUUUGUGUGUAAUCCCCAUAAUAAAUUUUUAGAAAUGG